UGGAUCCAGACUUUGAUCAUGGCUCAGGACGAACGCUGGCGGCGUGCUUAACACAUGCAAGUCGAACGGGAGGAAAAGAGAAGCUUGCUUCUUUUUGAAUCUAGUGGCAAACGGGUGAGUAACACGUAAACAACCUGCCUUCAGGAUGGGGACAACAGACGGAAACGACUGCUAAUACCGAAUGUGUUCCGGAGACCGCAUGAUUUCCGGAAGAAAGGAUGGCCUCUAUUUAUAAGCUAUCGCCUGAAGAGGGGUUUGCGUCUGAUUAGGCAGUUGGUGAGGUAACGGCCCACCAAACCUACGAUCAGUAGCCGGUCUGAGAGGAUGAACGGCCACACUGGAACUGAGACACGGUCCAGACUCCUACGGGAGGCAGCAGUGGGGAAUCUUCCGCAAUGGACGAAAGUCUGACGGAGCAACGCCGCGUGAGUGAUGACGGCCUUCGGGUUGUAAAGCUCUGUGAUCGGGGGCGAAUGGCUGGUAUGCUAAUACCAUAUCAGAGUGACGGUACCCGAAUAGCAAGCCACGGCUAACUACGUGCCAGCAGCCGCGGUAAUACGUAGGUGGCAAGCGUUGUCCGGAAUUAUUGGGCGUAAAGCGCGCGCAGGCGGCUUCUUAAGUCCAUCUUAAAAGUGCGGGGCUUAACCCCGUGAUGGGAUGGAAACUGGGAGGCUGGAGUAUCGGAGAGGAAAGUGGAAUUCCUAGUGUAGCGGUGAAAUGCGUAGAGAUUAGGAAGAACACCGGUGGCGAAGGCGACUUUCUGGACGACAACUGACGCUGAGGCGCGAAAGCGUGGGGAGCAAACAGGAUUAGAUACCCUGGCAGUCCACGCCGUAAACGAUGAAUACUAGGUGUAGGAGGUAUCGACCCCUUCUGUGCCGGAGCUAACACAAUAAGUAUUCCGCCUGGGAAGUACGAUCGCAAGAUUACAACUCAAAUGAAUUGACGGA
rnacentral:rRNA from 1 species